CUUUUAAUUCGACAGAUUCGUAUAAUAAACAUAUAUCUUUAAGAUAGCUAAUUUGCUACAGUGAAUACUUUGUCACAUGUCGAUGAUAUGCAAAUAAUAUUUGAAAAUAUUACACAGUUCUUGGUGCUUUUUUUCAUUUUCUAAGAGGUACGUAACAUAUAUUAGUUUUAAUACUUCUAUCAUAUUCAAAUUAUUUUGCAUUUAAGUAUCAGAACACGAACACUUUACUUCAAAUUUAUAAAGAUGGGGCGAAAGAUACCAGCGGGACAGUCAAACUCAUAGAUUGAAAAUAAACUGAUUACGCCAUGAUAACGCCAUGGCUAACAAAUAAAAAGACAAACAGAACAAUAAUAGUACACAAGACACAACUAAAAAAAGACUAACCAACACGAACCCCACCAAAAACUGUGGGUGAUCUCAUGUAUUUCGGAUGGUAAGCAGGUCAUGUACAACAAUCACAUCAGACUUUUUUUAUUCGUACGACAGCUAUCAAUUUCACAAAACAAUCUCGCAGUAUAUGUAAACAACAGAUGUAAAGAGAUCAAUGAUUAGAGAUAGACAAAUACAUUCAUUAAAGCAGCAAAUACUUUCAUCUUAAACGGUUAAAACAUAUCUUAAUGUGCGUGUGAUUAGAUAUAAUCAGAUGUGGUAUGAGUGUCAAUAUGUCUCAACUCUCCAUCCAAAUUAGAUAUAAU
rnacentral:lncRNA from 1 species